CGUGAGCCAGGUUGGUUUCUAUCUUUUAUAAAUUAAAAUGUUUUAGUACGAAAGGAAUUUAUAUUUAAAUUAAAUUUAAUUUUAUUGAAUAUUAUUAAUAUUAUAAUUAUUAAAAUAAUAAAUAAUUAACACUAUAAUUUAUAUGAAAAAUAAAUUCAAAAUAAAUUUAUAAUAAAUUUAUAAUAAAUUUAUAAUAAAUUUAUUU
rnacentral:rRNA from 1 species